AUUGAACGCUGGCGGCAGGCAUAACACAUGCAAGUCGAACGAGUGGCGGACGGGUGAGUAAUGUCUGGGAAACUGCCUGAUGGUGGGCGAUAACUUCUGGAAACGGUAGCUAAUACCGCAUACCAUCAGAUGUGCCCACACGGGAUUAGCUAGUUGGUGGGGUAACGGCUCACAAAGGCGACGAGCCCUAGCUGGUCUGAGAGGAUGACCAUCCACACUGGAACUGAGACACGUUCCAGACUCCGACGGAAGGCAGCAGUGGGGAAUAUUGCACAAUGGGCGCAAGCCUGAUGCAGCCAUGCCGCGUGUAUGAAGAAGGCCUUCGGGUUGUAAAGUACUUUCAGCGGGGAGGCGUUACCCGCAGAAGAAGCACCGGCUAACUCCGUGCCAGCAGCCGCGGUAAUUC
rnacentral:rRNA from 1 species